UGAGGAAUAUUGGGACAAUGGAUGGAAAUCUGAUCCAGCCAUGCCGCGUGCAGGAAGACGGUCCUAUGGAUUGUAAACUGCUUUAGCAUGGGAGCAAUAAGGUGUACGCGUACACCGAUGAGAGUACCAUGAGAAUAAGCACCGGCUAACUCCGUGCCAGCAGCCGCGGUAAUACGGAGGGUGCAAGCGUUAUCCGGAUUUAUUGGGUUUAAAGGGUGCGUAGGCUGUAAGUCAAGUCAGCGGUGAAAGUCGGGGCUAAACCUUGAGGGUGCCGUUGAAACUGAUUGGCUUGAGUACGUACGGGGCAGGCGGAAUGCGUGGUGUAGCGGUGAAAUGCAUAGAUAUCACGCAGAACCCCGAUCGCGAAGGCAGCCUGCCAGGCCGUGACUGACACUGAUGCACGAAAGCGU
rnacentral:rRNA from 1 species